GGGUGUGAUCCUACCGGCAUUAACGCACCGGAUCCCAUUAGAACUCCGAAGUCAAGCGUGCUAGGGUGAGAGUAGUACGAGGAUGGGUAACCUCUUGGGAAGUCCCCGUGUUGCACCCU